rfam:Camelus ferus unplaced genomic scaffold scaffold1003, whole genome shotgun sequence.
GAGGGUAUAGCUCAGUGGUAGAGCGUGUGCUUAGCAUGCACGAGGUCCUGGGUUCAAGCCCCAGAACCUCCA